UAAAACUGCAGCCAUAUUCUGAAAUCUUGCCCUUUCACCGUUGGCUCAGUAUUGACAGCAAAGUGAUAAAAUAAAUUGAGCAUAACUUGAGAUCAAAUCUCCGAGCAUUUCAAGCACUUAAAGACAUCAACAUCAUCCUGGAGUGUUCAUUUACCAGAAUAGUGCCCCUGGACCUGUGGAGCGGCAUCAGCUUUGGCAAGUAUCUUAUCAAAGACAUUGUUCUCGGUUUCCGGUGACACAUUGCUGUCAGUGACAUGAUCAUCACUGAGAGAAUUUGUUGCUGGCAACUGGUCCACCAUGCAUCAUACAACUGUAUGGAACAUCUGCUGGGUCACAGUCUGAAGACUUUUUUUCUUGCCAAUAGUGGAAGACAUGACAAGCUUUCUUCUGUUCCUCCAUGUUGUCUGUUUUACAAUACAGCUCCACCCUCUUGAUUUAGGACUUCCAGCCUUCAUUAGUGCUAUCAAAUUCAUCCACUUUCCUGACUGAAGCCAUCGCCAUGUUAUCUUCACUUUAAGUUUUUGAGUUGCAUCUUUCACUGUGUAUUUUUGCAGGCAGUUACUCAAGUGUCUGCAAUGGCCUCUGUGCUAUUUAACUCUCACUGUUUUGUCCUGUACCUGUUGGCUCAGUUGGUGAUAUUCUCUGAUAUUCAGGUUCAUGCUCAUCGUCAAUUUGUUGUGUCUUUGCAACUACAUAUCAAUUAAAUAAAAACACACACACAGGAGGUGGCUUUAACUAGUGUAUUCACAUUGCAGUGACAGAGGGAGAGCAGAUCAAUGUGCAUGCAUAGACAACAGAUCAAUACAUAGUGCUAAGGGGAGUCAUUGCUCUAAAAGAAAUAGAUCCAUGCAUUACAAUAGUAGGAGGCAUUUUUGGCUCAUCAAGUAAAUAUAAUUUCUACUAAUUCUUUAUGUAACCCACAUUACCACAUGAUCGUCUAGCUAGGCUGAGAGCAAACUCUAACCGUCACCUCAGUAUAGCAACACUAUGACGACAUUGACCACUUUGCACUACAAUAAAUGUUGAUUUUAUUUUCUGUUCUAAUUGUGUCCCUUGUAUAAUUUGUGAUUAAUUUGUUUCUAUUGUGAAUGUUGUUCAUGUUCUAUAUUCCAUUUGAUGGUGCUGCAGGUAAAUGUUUCAU